rnacentral:rRNA from 1 species
UACGGGGGGGGCAAGCGUUGUCCGGAAUUACUGGGCGUAAAGAGCUCGUAGGUGGUUUGUCGCGUUGUUCGUGAAAACUCACAGCUCAACUGUGGGCGUGCGGGCGAUACGGGCAGACUGGAGUACUGCAGGGGAGACUGGAAUUCCUGGUGUAGCGGUGGAAUGCGCAGAUAUCAGGAGGAACACCGAUGGCGAAGGCAGGUCUCUGGGCCACUACUGACGCUGAGAAGCGAAAGCGUGGGGAGCGAACAGG